rnacentral:rRNA from 1 species
UACGUAGGGGGCAAGCGUUUGUCCGGAUUUAUUGGGCGUAAAGAGCGUGUAGGCGGCCAGGUAGGUCGGUUGUGAAAACUGGAGGCUUAACCUCCAGACGUCGACCGAAACCCCCUGGCUAGAGCCGGAAGAGGAGAGUGGAAUUCCUGGUGUAGCGGUGAAAUGCGCAGAUAUCAGGAAGAACACCCGUGGCGAAAGCGGCUCUCUGGGACGGUACUGACGCUGAGACGCGAAAGCGUGGGGAGCGAACAGG